ACAUCCCUUACCCAAUACCAAAACGUGUUCAACAAAUGAGGGAAUAAACUAAUUAAAAUAAAUGUUCGAAAGUAAGAACUACAAUUAUAACUAUGGGAUCUUUAGGCGUCCCUUUUGCCGUCUUCCUGUGGAACGGGCUCGGGAACCACGUCUUCCUGAUCUGAAAUGGUUAAGUAAGGAGUGAGCUACACUAGCCUUAUAAAAACAUCACUUUACCUCACUGCCACAGGAGUAAGGGUGGGUAGAAAACAAAAACGACCAAUGGAGCAUAAUUUGUAAUAAAUCCAUUUGUUCAUAAAAAUGUUUACUUUCCAUUUACCUGGGUGAGAUCCAUAAAACAAUACACAAGCAACACAUUAUCAUCAUCAC
rnacentral:lncRNA from 1 species